GUCAGGAUGGCCGAGUGGUCUAAGGCGCCAGACUCAAGUUCUGGUCUCCAGUUGGAAGGCGUGGGUUCAAAUCCCACUUCUGACA